rnacentral:rRNA from 1 species
UUUGCAGAGGAUGCUUCGGGAGCAGCCCCCAUCUAAGUGGCCUGGAACGGUCCGUCAUAGAGGGUGAAAAUCCCGUCUGGGAUGGGGUGUCUGCGCCCGUGUGAAGCUCCUUCGACGAGUCGAGUUGUUUGGGAAUGCAGCUCUAAAUGGGUGGUAAAUUUCAUCUAAAGCUAAAUACUGGCCGGAGACCGAUAGCGCACAAGUAGAGUGAUCGAAAGAUGAAAAGCACUUUGAAAAGAGAGUUAAAAAGCACGUGAAAUUGUUGAAAGGGAAGCGCUUGCGACCAGACUCGCCCACGGGGUUCAGCCGGCAUUCGUGCCGGUGUACUUCCCCGCGGGCGGGCCAGCGUCGGUUUGGGCGGCCGGUCAAAGGCCCUCGGAAUGUAACGCCCCCCGGGGCGUCU